rnacentral:rRNA from 2 species
CAACUCGUAACGGUGGAU